rnacentral:rRNA from 1 species
UACGUAGGGGGCAAGCGUUGUCCGGAUUUAUUGGGCGUAAAGAGCGUGUAGGCGGCCAGACAGGUCCGUUGUGAAAACUCGAGGCUCAACCUCGAGAUGUCGAUGGAAACCGUCUGGCUAGAGUCCGGAAGAGGAGUGUGGAAUUCCUGGUGUAGCGGUGAAAUGCGCAGAUAUCAGGAAGAACACCUAUGGCGAAGGCAGCACUCUGGGACGGUACUGACGCUGAGACGCGAAAGCCAGGGGAGCAAACGGG